UACGUAGGGUGCAAGCGUUUAAUCGGAAUUACUGGGCGUAAAGCGUGCGCAGGCGGUUUUGUAAGCCAGGUGUGAAAUCCCCGGGCUCAACCUGGGAAUGGCAUUUGGGACUGCAAGGCUGGAGUGCGGCAGAGGAGACUGGAAUUCCUGGUGUAGCAGUGAAAUGCGUAGAUAUCAGGAGGAACACCGAUGGCGAAGGCAGGUCUCUGGGCUGACACUGACGCUCAUGCACGAAAGCGUGGGGAGCAAA
rnacentral:rRNA from 1 species